rnacentral:tRNA from 1 species
UAGUAUGAAACAAAUUAAUUGUUUAUAAUUUCGACUUAUAAUAAGGUAAAUUACCCAUACUAA